rnacentral:rRNA from 1 species
GAUGAACGCUGACAGAAUGCUUAACACAUGCAAGUCAUUGGCGAAGCUGCGCUUGCGCAGUCUAGCCAAGGCGGACGGGUGAGUAACGCGUAAGGAACUUGCCCUGCAGACAGGGAUAACAGACGGAAACGACUGAUAACACCUGGUAUUGUCAGGCUGGCGCAUGCCGGCCUGAUGAAAGGAGACGCUGCAGGAGAGCCUUGCGUCCUAUUAGCUAGUUGGUGGGGUAACGGCCCACCAAGGCGAUGAUAGGUGGCCGGCCUGAGAGGGUGAACGGCCACAAGGGGACUGAGAUACGGCCCUUACUCCUACGGGAGGCAGCAGUGGGGAAUAGUGGACAAGGGGGGCAACCCUGAUCCAGCAAUUCUGUGUGCACGAAGAAGGUUUUCGGAUUGUAAAGUGCUUUCAGCAGGGAAGAAGAAAGUGACGGUACCUGCAGAAGAAGCGACGGCUAAAUACGUG